GGGGGUGAAAUUGGCUUCGACGGGGUUGAAGAGACAUUGAACUGCACAUCGUGUUCCCCGAGUACACGUUAAACAAUUGGGAAUAAAACAAUAACUGGCGAAUAUAACUACGCCUUAGCUGCUUAAUUAAACAAGCAGCCGUUCUCCUUUC
rnacentral:tmRNA from 1 species